AUGAGUACAGCAUAUCACCCAGAGACUGACGGCCAAACUGAAAGAGUAAAUCAGCAAAUUGAGUGUUUCUUGCGGUGUUUCAUCAGUGCCCAUCCUACUAAAUGGAGCAAAUGGCUGUCGCUUUGUGAAUUCUGGUACAAUACCAACUGGCAUUCUGCACUGAACAAAACGCCUUUUGAAAUCAUUUAUGGGAAGACUCCACGAUUCUUUGGGAUAUCUGCUUCUGAUACAAUUGCUCCCGUCGAUGUCCAAUCGUGGUUGGACUCCCGACAGUUGAUGAUCGCAUCGAUAAAACAUCAUUUGUCACGUGUUCAGCAGAGAAUGAAGCAUCAAGCAGACAAGAAACGGACUAAACGAGUUUUUGCUGCCAACGAUCUCGUGUUCCUCAAACUGCAACCAUACGUGCAAUCAUCAGUUGUCAGAAGAGCCAACCACAAGCUUUCAUUCAAGUACUUUGGUCCUUACAAGAUACUCGACAAAAUUGGAGAGGUUGCAUACCGACUGGAGUUGCCUCCUGAUAGUCGCAUCCACCCAGUGUUUCAUGUGUCUCAGCUCAAGAAGUUCAUUCCGCCAACGACUCGGGUGCAAACACAGUUACCCUCUCCUACA
rnacentral:rRNA from 1 species